rnacentral:rRNA from 1 species
CCUCGGGAGGCAGCAGUGAGGAAUAUUGCACAAUGGGGGGAACCCUGAUGCAGCAACGCCGCGUGGAGGAUGACGCAUUUCGGUGUGUAAACUCCUUUUAUGUGUCAAGAAAAUGACGGUAGCAUAUGAAUAAGCACCGGCUAACUCCGUGCCAGCAGCCGCGGUAAUACGGAGGGUGCAAGCGUUACUCGGAAUCACUGGGCGUAAAGGACGCGUAGGCGGGUUGGAAAGUCAGGUGUGAAAUCCUACAGCUUAACUGUAGAACUGCACUUGAAACUUCUAAUCUAGAGUAUGGGAGGGGGAGAUGGAAUUAGUGGUGUAGGGGUAAAAUCCGUAGAUAUCACUAGGAAUACCUAAAGCGAAGGCGAUCUCCUGGAACAUUACUGACGCUAAGGCGUGAAAGCGUGGGGAGCAAACAGGAUUAGAUACCCGCGUAGUC